UAGUCCACGCCGUAAACGAUGGAUACUAGCUGUAUGUCUACUUCAGGUAGAUGUGUGGCUAAGCGAAAGUGAUAAGUAUCCCACCUGGGGAGUACGAUCGCAAGAUUGAAACUCAAAGGAAUUGACGGGGGCCCGCACAAGCGGUGGAGCAUGUGGUUUAAUUCGAUGAUACGCGAGGAACCUUACCAGGGCUUAAAUGUAACGGGACAGAUCUAGAGAUAGAUCCUUCUUCGGACUCAUUACAAGGUGCUGCAUGGUUGUCGUCAGCUCGUGCCGUGAGGUGUUAGGUUAAGUCCUGCAACGAGCGCAACCCCUAUUCUUAGUUGCCAGCGGUUCGGCCGGGGACUCUAAGAAGACUGCCAGCGCAAGCUGAGAGGAAGGUGGGGGAUGACGUCAAAUCAUCACGGGCCCUUACGUCCUGGGGCUACACACGUGCUACAAUGGGUA
rnacentral:rRNA from 1 species